AAGUAUUCGAGUACUCGAAGACUAGACUAAAUACUAAAGACUAAAACUAAAGACUAAAAACUACUCUGACUAAAAUGAAGUCCAUUGCUAUCGUCUUUCUACUGUGCCUGGUCGUAGUGCUAGCCGCUCCAGGAGAUGACGGAUGUGAUGAAAAAAAUAAAAAAGGAGAUACCGUCUUCAAUGUACAUAAUUAUAACAAAGCUGAAUCUGACGGGGAUAGCUGCGAAGAUAACCCCGGCUAUGACAGCUUGUUCGAUGCAGUUGGAGGAGCCUUGCGCAAGCGAUAGAUAUACAACACAUUCGAUGAACGUUCAUCAUCAUUAGGAUGGUGAUAGACCUAAGUUUAAAUAGUACAAGAGCCAGCAUAACAAAUAUAUAACCUGAUCUUUUAUUUAUUUGGGAUAAAAAAUAAAUAAA